rnacentral:rRNA from 1 species
UACGUAGGGGGCAAGCGUUGUCCGGAAUUAUUGGGCGUAAAGAGCGUGUAGGCGGUCCGGUAAGUCAGCUGUGAAAGUCAAGGGCUCAACCCUUGAAAGCCGGUUGAUACUGUCGGGCUAGAGUCCGGAAGAGGCGAGUGGAAUUCCCGGUGUAGCGGUGAAAUGCGCAGAUAUCGGGAGGAACACCAAUGGCGAAGGCAGCUCGCUGGGACGGUACUGACGCUGAGACGCGAAAGCCAGGGGAGCGAACGGG